rnacentral:rRNA from 1 species
GACGAACGCUGGCGGCGUGCUUAACACAUGCAAGUCGAACGGAAAGGCCCUGCUUUUGUGGGGUGCUCGAGUGGCGAACGGGUGAGUAACACGUGAGUAACCUGCCCUUGACUUUGGGAUAACUUCAGGAAACUGGGGCUAAUACCGGAUAGGAGCUCCUGCUGCAUGGUGGGGGUUGGAAAGUUUCGGCGGUUGGGGAUGGACUCGCGGCUUAUCAGCUUGUUGGUGGGGUAGUGGCUUACCAAGGCUUUGACGGGUAGCCGGCCUGAGAGGGUGACCGGCCACAUGGGGACUGAGAUACGGCCCAGACUCCUACGGGAGGCAGCAGGGGGGAAUAUUGCAAAAUGGGCGGAAGCCUGAUGCAGCAACGCCGCGUGCGGGAUGACGGCCUUCGGGUUGUAAACCGCUUUCGCCGGUGACGAAGCGGGAGUGACGGUAAUGGGUAAAGAAGCACCGGCUAACUACGUG